UACUUGUUACCUUGGCUAUGGAACAUUGGUUGAUUAGACAGGUAUAAAACAAGUCCUGGUAGUUAUUUUCCCCAUAGCAAUAACAUAAUUUGUCUUUUGUUAACAUUUUUUGAAAAUGUCAACAUUAUACAUAAAAACCCAUCCAAUUUUUGUAUUUCUACAGGUCCCAGAUAAUAAUUAGGAAAACAAAUCAGGACCGAAACUCCAGAGAGUCUGAAAUUGGCUGACCAUGGAACACCUAACCCGAAAAUAUGCAUAUCCCUUUCAGAGGGCAAAAAUCUGAGGAGAGGCUACAAUCCAAGGAAUGCAGGGAGCCUGUAGAAACUGGAAAAAGCAGACAAAUGAAUUCUCUCCCAGAGCUUCCAGAGGGAAUGUGGUGCUGGUGACACCUUGAGUUCAGAAAUUCAGUGACCUUCAGAACUUUGCCUAUGGUCUCUGCACAGUUUUUCUGCCUGGAAGUACUUCUUUAAAAUAAAAUAUCUAGUUGUGGUUGGAUAUACACAUCUCCAAAGUCUCCAGGAGAUGAACCUGAGCUGGAGUCUUCUGGUGAUCAUGAAAAUAUAACAUAAAACAACCAAAAAGAAGAAGAAUAACAUGCAGAAUGCACACAGUGUGAACAUUGUAAGCAAACUUUGGCUUAUUUGAAGUACAAUUUUAUUGUACAAACACAAAACAAUAAAGACAAUUGAUUUUAUAAGAUAUUUUAAACAAGCAUUUUGAGUUCUUUACUAUACGUAGCGGUUAUUGCAAAGCAAUUCACAGAAUUGACUUUUUUCCUUUAAAUAACCUCACAAUUAGGUACGACUGCCACGCCUGUUUUGUUUAAAGUCCUAUAAGGACAACCAGACUCAAUCUGCAUGGAGCUAGAUAUAUAAUGUUAUUUGUUAAAUCAAUGCUACGAGUGUAAAAUUUGCUUGGCUAAUAUGAUGGUUAACAAUUAUUAGAUAGAAGUGGUGUAAUUUAAAGGCUUUCCAGUGAGCAAAACAGUAUUUAUUAUUCACCAUAAUGUGUUCUGUUUUCUCUUCUAGCUUCUUUGUUCUGAUUUUUUAUGCUUUCUCCUUUAGACCUUAUAAUAAAUAUAUUCUGAGAUCACAGAUAAUUAUUUAAUUGAACAUUUCUGCUCUGACUCAUACUCUACCAAGAGUGGAAGCAAAGGAUGAAGAUAGGGUUGACUGACUUUCCUCCAAAAAGAAAAAAGAAGGGAAAUGAAAUAUAAACAUAGCCAUUCAAAACAUUGUGGAUUUAUGUACUUUUGAAAUCCAGGGAAGAGAUGAAUUCCAUACAGCAUCCCUGGACAGUGUUUGCCAGUGAUUUGUACAAGGCUCAUAUAUGAAAUACUUCUCUUUAGGUGGCAGGACUUGACUAGAAACAUUAUAUCUGCCAACUCUCAAUUAUCCAUAGACUAUUAUUAAAUUUGAAAAUUAAACAGGCCUGUAUCUUUCCCUUCUUUUUGCUUCCUUUUGUUUUUCUUAAUGCUUUGGCAAUUUCACUGCCCCAAGUUUUCCACUAAAAGAUCUACCUGGAAAAGUACAAAGAAAAAAUUAAUCACUUCGAAUCCUGUUAAUGGACCAUGUAAAAAUAUUUCAUUAGAGAAAAAAAUUAACUCAUAUAACACCCACAGAUUUCCUAGGAAAAUCUUGUCAUAUUCUGAGGAGCACAGUUUAUUUAAAAAAUCUUCCGUUUAGGAGCCCUGAAAUUUUUUUUAAACUCAAAAUGCCAGCCAAUAUUAAGUAAGUGAGAGUGCAUAAUAUUUACUGCCUGGUGGAAGUUAAAUGCAGUCUUGCAAGUGUAGAACAUAUAUGUUAUAAUCUAGCAGACAUUUUACUUGCAAUAUUUUAUUUUUUCCCAGUUCAACAGGAGAAUUUGGCAGCAAUAAAGAGUUUUAUGUGUAUGUUACUUUCCAGAAGUUUGGCAAAGUUACUAUCACAAUGAAAUUUCCAUUGCAUAGAAACUUUACAGCAUGUUUUCCAAAAGAACACGAUGUUUAGAAACAAAAUAUAUAGUUCAGUAUUUUAUUAAAGUGACUCAA
rnacentral:lncRNA from 1 species